rnacentral:rRNA from 1 species
UUCGGAGGCAGCAGUGAGAAUCUUGCGCAAUGGGCGAAAGCCUGACGCAGCGACGUCGCGUGACCGAUGAAGUCUUUCGGGAUGUAAAGGUCUUUUUUGGGGGAAGAAGGAUGUGACGGUACCCCAAGAAUAAGCCCCGGCUAACUACGUGCCAGCAGCCGCGGUAAUACGUAGGGGGCGAGCGUUGUCCGAAUUCACUGGGCGUAAAGCGCGCGUAGGCGGGUUAUUAAGUUGGAGGUGAAAUCCCGGGGCUCAACCCCGGAACUGCCCCCAAAGCUGGUAGCCUUGAGGUAUGGAGAGGGAAGUGGAAUUCCAGGUGUAGCGGUGAAAUGCGUAGAUAUCUGGAGGAACACCCGUGGCGAAGGCGGCUUCCUGGUCAUAUCCUGACGCUGAGGUGCGAAAGCUAGGGGAGCGAACGGGAUUAGAUACCCGUGUAA